rnacentral:rRNA from 1 species
UACGUAGGGUGCAAGCGUUAAUCGGAAUUACUGGGCGUAAAGCGUGCGCAGGCGGUGAUGUAAGACAGGUGUGAAAUCCCCGGGCUUAACCUGGGAACUGCAUUUGUGACUGCAUCGCUGGAGUGCGGCAGAGGGGGAUGGAAUUCCGCGUGUAGCAGUGAAAUGCGUAGAUAUGUGGAGGAACACCGAUGGCGAAGGCAGCCCCCUGGGUCAAAACUGACGCUCAUGCACGAAAGCGUGGGGAGCAAACAGG